rnacentral:rRNA from 1 species
GAUGAACGCUGGCGGCGUGCCUAAUACAUGCAAGUCGAGCGAACAGACGAGGAGCUUGCUCCUCUGACGUUAGCGGCGGACGGGUGAGUAACACGUGGAUAACCUACCUAUAAGACUGGGAUAACUUCGGGAAACCGGAGCUAAUACCGGAUAAUAUAUUGAACCGCAUGGUUCAAUAGUGAAAGACGGUUUUGCUGUAACUUAUAGAUGGAUCCGCGCCGCAUUAGCUAGUUGGUAAGGUAACGGCUUACCAAGGCAACGAUGCGUAGCCGACCUGAGAGGGUGAUCGGCCACACUGGAACUGAGACACGGUCCAGACUCCUACGGGAGGCAGCAGUAGGGAAUCUUCCGCAAUGGGCGAAAGCCUGACGGAGCAACGCCGCGUGAGUGAUGAAGGUCUUCGGAUCGUAAAACUCUGUUAUUAGGGAAGAACAAAUGUGUACGUAACUAUGCACGUCUUGACGGUACCUAAUCAGAAAGCCACGGCUAGCUACGUG